GAUGAACGCUGGCGGCGUGCCUAAUACAUGCAAGUCGAGCGAACAGACGAGGAGCCUGCUCCUCUGACGUUAGCGGCGGACGGGUGAGUAACACGUGGAUAACCUACCUAUAAGACUGGGAUAACUUCGGGAAACCGGAGCUAAUACCGGAUAAUAUAUUGAACCGCAUGGUUCAAUAGUGAAAGACGGUUUUGCUGUCACUUAUAGAUGGAUCCGCGCCGCAUUAGCUAGUUGGUAAGGUAACGGCUUACCAAGGCGACGAUGCGUAGCCGACCUGAGAGGGUGAUCGGCCACACUGGAACUGAGACACGGUCCAGACUCCUACGGGAGGCAGCAGUAGGGAAUCUUCCGCAAUGGGCGAAAGCCUGACGGAGCAACGCCGCGUGAGUGAUGAAGGUCUUCGGAUCGUAAAACUCUGUUAUUAGGGAAGAACAAAUGUGUAAGUAACGAUGCACGUCUUGACGGUACCUAAUCAGAAAGCCACGGCUAACUACGU
rnacentral:rRNA from 1 species